CCCUUAGAUGUCCUGGGCCGCACGCGUGCUACACUGAUUCAUACAGCGAGUCUUUCCGUCUCCGAGAGGCAGACGGUAAUCAGCAAUAUGAAUCGUGAUGGGGAUAGAUCUUUGGAAUUAUAGAUCUUGAACGGGGAAUUCCUAGUAAGCGCAGGUCAUCAGCCUGCGCUGAUUAAGUCCCUGCCCUUUGUACACACCGCCCGUCGCUCCUACCGAUUUCGAGUGAUCCGGUGAACCUUUCGGACCACGGUGGCUUCGUGUCGCUGAGGAAAGUCAAGUAAACCAUAUCACUUAGAGGAAGGAGAAGUCGUANCA
rnacentral:rRNA from 1 species